rnacentral:rRNA from 1 species
AAAUUGAAGAGUUUGAUCAUGGCUCAGAUUGAACGCUGGCGGCAGGCCUAACACAUGCAAGUCGAACGGUAACAGGAAGCAGCUUGCUGCUUCGCUGACGAGUGGCGGACGGGUGAGUAAUGUCUGGGAACUGCCUGAUGGAGGGGGAUAACUACUGGAACGGUGGCUAAUACCGCAUAACGUCGCAAGACCAAGAGGGGGACCUUCGGGCCUCUUGCCAUCAGAUGUGCCCAGAUGGGAUUAGC